rnacentral:sRNA from 1 species
GCUGGGCUUAGUGAUGCACACCUGUAAUCCCAGCCACUAGGGAAGCUGAGACAGGAGGAUCAGGAGUUCAAAACCAACCUCAGCAAUGGGGAGGUGCUAAGCCACUCAGUGAGACCCUGUCUCUA